AAUAGAUACCCUGGUAGUCCACGCCGUAAACGGUGGGCGCUAGGUGUGGGGGACUUUCCACGUCCUCUGUGCCGCAGCUAACGCAUUAAGCGCCCCGCCUGGGGAGUACGGCCGCAAGGCUAAAACUCAAAGGAAUUGACGGGGGCCCGCACAAGCGGCGGAGCAUGUGGCUUAAUUCGACGCAACGCGAAGAACCUUACCAAGGCUUGACAUGCAGAGAAAUCUCGUAGAGAUACGGGGUCCGCAAGGGCUUUGCACAGGUGGUGCAUGGUUGUCGUCAGCUCGUGUCGUGAGAUGUUGGGUUAAGUCCCGCAACGAGCGCAACCCUUGUCCUAUGUUGCCAGCGAGUAAUGUCGGGGACUCAUAGGAGACUGCCGGGGUCAACUCGGAGGAAGGUGGGGAUGACGUCAAAUCAUCAUGCCCCUUAUGUCUUGGGCUGCACACAUGCUACAAUGGUCGGUACAAAGGGCUGCGAGACCGCAAGGUGGAGCGAAUCCCAAAAAGCCGGCCUCAGUUCGGAUUAGGGUCUG
rnacentral:rRNA from 1 species